rnacentral:rRNA from 1 species
AGAGUUUGAUCCUGGCUCAGAUUGAACGCUGGCGGCAUGCCUUACACAUGCAAGUCGAACGGCAGCAUGAUCUAGCUUGCUAGAUUGAUGGCGAGUGGCGAACGGGUGAGUAAUACAUCGGAACGUGCCCUGUGGUGGGGGAUAACUAGUCGAAAGAUUAGCUAAUACCGCAUACGACCUGAGGGUGAAAGUGGGGACCGCAAGGCCUCAUGCUAUAGGAGCGGCCGAUGUCUGAUUAGCUAGUUGGUGAGGUAAAGGCUCACCAAGGCGACGAUCAGU